ACUUUAGUGAGAUUCUAAGUCCGUGACACCAGUACAAUCACUUUUCUAUUCUCUAGGGUUUCUCAAUUGAGCUUGCUCUCCAAAUAUAUCGCUCAUGUCGCCGCGUGGGACUUUCACCAAUUUGACCUUCCUUUUCCUGUUGCAUUGGAUUAUCAAUCCUUUUGUCUUGCUGUUCUCUGAUCCUCUUCUCAGCUCACAAGGGUAAGCUUUAAUUGUUUCUUCCUCCUGUCCUUUUUCUGUCUCCCUUCUAACUUUUAUUCUACUGCCUACGAGUGUUCUGGUGGAUGUUUUGAAUUUCCAAGGAGAUUUUCGUAGAGGUGCCAAGUUAAUGAGUUGCGAACCCAACUCUAAGUAAGCUCAUUUCUUUAUUUCGGUGUUCCUCUUGUUCCCCAACCCUCUCUAACUUUCUUUUUUCUAGCUGAAGUGUUUGUGUAGAUUUCAAGAUGCUCCCGUUCUCCUUUCAAACAAAAGGAGAUCGAUUAGGGUAUCGCAGUUGAGCGGACAGGCGACGGGAGAAAAUUGAAGGAGUUCCUUCCCAGCCAAAGUUUCUCAAGUCUCCAUCUGACUUUCAAUUAAGCUUUUGUCUUUUGCGGGUGCAAUUUUUUGUGAGUUCACAUAGUCUCUAAGUAGCUUAAAUCUUACAUUUAUAUAAGCCCUGAAGUGAUAAAUUUUGCUGAUGUAAGUAUCAUAGAUGUGAGACAUUCUGAU
rnacentral:lncRNA from 1 species